UCCUUUCGCUAACCCAUAUAAAAUGGCGGUCUUUAAUAUUUAGAGGAACUCGCGCAAUAAUCGUCAAUACCCGUUGAUUUUUACUUAUUUUUAAAGUAUAUAUACCGCCGUUACAGUAACUAUUUAAAAAUAAAUUCCACAAAACCUUUUUAGUAAAAAAUCAGGUCAAGGUGUAGCCAACAAAUAAGAUAGCCGUAAGUUACAUUAAAAACAAUUUAAGGAUAUAACACAAAAAUUUAAUUGAAAAAGAAUCCAAAUUUACAUAUACAUUAAAAUUUUAUAUAGAAUAUGUUAAUAAAGACGCACACAUCGCCCCGUCGCU
rnacentral:rRNA from 1 species